GAUAUACAUAGUAUAAAAUUUAUAUGUAAAAUAUUAACUAAAGUAUUAAUGUUAACUCGUUAUAACUGUUUCUUUUGAUGACUUUAACACUUCUUGUAAGAGUUGACAAGUGGGUUUUUUUUCUAUUUCAUUUAUAAUAAGCAGGUAAAUUAAUACCAGCAUAACUGUAAUAUAACUCUGAUAUAACAUGAUAUAAUUGUGUAUAAUUUGUUAUCAGCAAUUUCAAAACAUCUAAGUUUCUUAGUUCAUCAAAGUUUCAAAUUUUAUAAAACUUUUUCUAUUAUUUUCUUGGAAAAAAAAAAUUAUUUAAUAUAAUGACAACUUCAAUAUUUGUUUGAAUAAUUAAUCAUAUCAUUUUUAUUAGUAAUUCAAUUUAAAACAAUUAAUAAUAAUAAUUCAGAACUAAGAAUGUUUACAUCAUCGCCAGUUCAUUCAUCAGACUCUGACUAUUGAAAAAAGUUAGUUGUCUUUGAUUCAGGUAAUCUUAUUUCACAGUCUCAAAAUAUCUAAAACAAAAUUUUUGAAAUAACGAGUUGAUGUUUUUUUCAACAUAAUUAUUUUUCAUUUUGUAUAAUUUGAGUAAAAUGGAUAUUUAGAUGAAGUUUCAGCAAAUAACAUUUACAUUUUCCCAAGUACACAAUCUUCACUUUAUCACUGCUCUGGAUAGCAUAGCCUAAAAAAUAUAAUCAAGCAACUUAACUUGAUAGAUGAAUCAAAAGUUACUGGUACAAAUAAUCGCCAUCGACUCUCUAUACUAGUGGCUGGUUUAGGAGUUUAAGAUGCCCAAAUGAGUUUGCAUAUGAUCAUUUUGGUUAAAGUGAAACAAUUAACAAGACAAUACAUCAAGCUCCAGCAGCACAUCGAGAGCUUCUCUCAACAGGGUAACAUCUUGAAGCUAUUGAUCAAAACUCCUGUGUGUAUAAAUAUAUUUUUAAUUUGUUUGAAUAAUUUUUUUAAAGAAAUGUCAACCUAAAGCAUAAGUUAUUUUAAUUUUCUAUUAAAAAUCUUUUUUUACUUUGUAAAACAAGAUUUAAAAAAAACAAUAAAUAUUGAUAAAAAAGAACAGAAAAAUCAACUUGUAGAAUAACAAGAGAAGCCAAUAAAACUAGCUAAAGUUUUUUUAACAAGAUCUUAAGCAAAACUUGAGGCUAGUGUUGGAAGAAGCACUCCAAUCAGUUUGAAUAAACAAGUUCUAGAAAUUGCGAAUGAAAAUCAUUUUUCAACUGAAUAUGAAAACAGUUCAAGCGAAUCGGAGUUUGAAUUUAAAACUAAUGUUAACCAAAUUAAUAAAACUAAAAAAGUUUUGUCUGAGGGAAAACUAAAACGCAACGUAACUGUAUGUAGUAACAAAGUUCUUGCAGAUGUGAUAGUCAAUGAAGAUGAGAGGUUAAAAAUAUUUACGGAGGAACACGAUAGUCCCUUGGGAGGACAUAGCGGUGAAACGAAGACAAGGGUAAAAAUUGCAGAAAAAUAUUAUUGGCCGAAUAUGAGCGGAGAUAUUAGAAAA